rnacentral:rRNA from 1 species
UACGUAGGUGACAAGCGUUGUCCGGAUUUACUGGGCGUAAAGAGCGCGCAGGCGGUCGUUCAAGUCGAGUGUGAAAGCCCCCGGCUCAACUGGGGAGGGUCAUUCGAUACUGAUCGACUCGAAGGCAGGAGAGGGAAGUGGAAUUCCAGGUGUAGCGGUGAAAUGCGUAGAUAUCUGGAGGAAUACCGGUGGCGAAGGCGGCAUCCUGGACCGACAUUGACGCUGAACGGCGAAAGCUAGGGGAGCAAACGGG